UAUUAUGUUUGUAGAAAUUAAUCAACCUAUCAGAAUAAAAAAAAAAAAAACAUUGUUCUUUCAAAACUUGGACAAAGGGAUGCACUCCAUAACAGUUGAAAACGGUUGCUAAUAUCUUGUAGGUUAAGGAGCAAAAGGAGGAAUCUGUCCAAGGAGGGAUUCGUGUCUGACUAGCUAAUUAAUGAGGCUAUAGCUUACGAAGACAAUGAUCGGUAGUUGGUUCAAGAGGAUGACUAGCUACACUAGGAUUGAAACACGACCUAGACUCUUUUAUGAGGCAGCAAUAGAGAAUUUUACGUAAUAGGCAAAAGCCUGGCGGAG
rnacentral:ncRNA from 1 species